AACGCGAAGAACCUUACCUGGGCUAGAAUGCAGAUAGACCGCCGGUGAAAGCUGGUUUUGUAGCAAUACACUGUCUGUAAGGUGCUGCAUGGCUGUCGUCAGCUCGUGCCGUGAGGUGUUGGGUUAAGUCCCGCAACGAGCGCAACCCCCAUCACUAGUUGCCAUCAGGUAAAGCUGGGAACUCUAGUGAAACUGCCGUCGUAAGACGCGAGGAAGGAGGGGAUGAUGUCAAGUCAUCAUGGCCUUUAUGCCCAGGGCUACACACGUGCUACAAUGGGGAGGACAAAGGGCAGCGACACAGCGAUGUGAAGCUAAUCCCAAAAACCUCUUCUCAGUUCAGAUUGCAGUCUGCAACUCGACUGCAUGAAGCUGGAAUCGCUAGUAAUCGUAUAUCAGCAAUGAUACGGUGAAUACGUUCCCGGGCCUUGUA
rnacentral:rRNA from 1 species